UACGUAGGGAGCGAGCGUUGUCCGGAAUUACUGGGUGUAAAGGGAGCGUAGGCGGGGAUGCAAGUUGGGUGUCAAAACUACCGGCUCAACUGGUAGUCGCACUCAAAACUGCAGCUCUUGAGUGAAGUAGAGGCAGGCGGAAUUCCUAGUGUAGCGGUGAAAUGCGUAGAUAUUAGGAGGAACACCAGUGGCGAAGGCGGAUGACUGGACGGCAACUGACGGUGAGGCGCGAAAGCGUGGGGAGCAAACAGG
rnacentral:rRNA from 1 species